CAAUUCUAUGACUAUGAUUCCAACAGCAGUCCUUCCGGGGAACCAGUGGGCCAUUUUACACAGAUAGGUUUGGGCAACAAGUGUGAGGGUCGGUUGCGGGUUCGCUCUGUGUGGUGAAGAAACGAAUUUACGCCUGCAACUAUGGUCCAGCGGGAAAUAUGAAAGGUGAAAGUCCGUAUACCUCUGGAAAAUCCUGUGAUGCCUGUUCGAGCACGUGCAACAACAAACUGUGUGACUGUAAAGAUGCCCUGUGUAAGAAUGGGGGAAAGAUGGACCCAAAUACAUGCACGUGCGCAUGUAAACCUAAGUUCUACAAGGGAGCCGAUUGUUCACUGAAUUGUGACGGUGGAAUGCCAGAGCCUUCACACUGUGCAGGGAUGGAAGGUCCACUGUAAAACGGUAUCAAAUGUGCCACAGGACUGUCCAAAAUCAUGUGGAUGGUGCGGAGCUGCCGAAAAUGCGUGAUUACUGAAAACGUCACUCCUGAGUGCAUGAAGUUUUUGAGACAAUAUACGGAAGUGAAAUUUUUAUUUUUCUGUAUCUUUGCUCAAGUUCAGAACACUUUUCUAUGACAGUUGCUGCGUGCGUGUUAUAAGUUACGCAUAGUUUCUUUCAGAACAUAAUGCACUCUAACAGUAAUAAAAUGUUUUUCUCCAAACAUUAUCAGUACAGUUAGGCUGGAGAGAUAAUGCUAUUUUGUACCCACCUUCAUUAUCGUUGGUUAUUGAAUGUAAAACAAAGAAACCAAUAAAUCUAAGCGUUGUCUUUUAAAA
rnacentral:lncRNA from 1 species